UCGUGCUGGUUGCCCAGCACCGUCCCCGCCCUCUCCAAGAACAGCGCAAGCAGGCCUUACGCGUCCACUCCGGCGAUCGUCUCGGCUACGCCACUUCACCUCAAUUUUGCAAAUUAACUUCACAGCGGCACUCGAUCACUGAUCACGGAUGAAUCUCUGGUGAUUUCUUUCAUUGGUAUGAGGAGCUAUGCAGGGAUGAUGGGAGCGAUUCAGCAGCCGACGCCUAUCACAACCAACUAGUUGCAGGAGAUGAGGAGGCGCCCGACGAUGUGCCGUGAAGCCCCAGACCUGUCCGGAUCCCACACGCACACCGCGUGCAGAGCGCCUCUGUCCAGAUGCUGAGGGUAGGAUAUCUUCUUGCCAAGUUCCAGGUGCUGAGUUAGAUCUCUAACCGGUUCAGUGUGUGGUUUCCCAUUGUU